rnacentral:lncRNA from 1 species
UAUAAUAAUCCAAAUAAUGCAAGGCUUAGCAGCCAGGGAAGUAAUUUGACGAAAAUUGAGGCAGCACUUCAGCUGCAAGUUUACUGAACUGCAUCACGACAGAAAGUCUGGCAACAAUCAUAUAAGUUCAUGAUGUUUGAGGUAAAAAUCAUAUCAGCUGGUAGAAAUUGCAAAAGAAUAUAUAUGUGAGUAUGUUUCUUACAUAUUGAAACAAAGAGUUAAAAAUGUUGAAAAUGAAUACACACACACAUCGUGUAUAAGUGUGGAGCAUAACACAUUGAAAAGCUAAUGCCUUGAAUUGCAAUUUCUAUCAACAAUGUUAGCAUUAUAUGAGUAUCUCCUAAAUUUCACAGCCUUAUUUUUGCACGGACUACGGUUAAAAGUUUAUGCAUGCAUUUUGUGGAUAAUUUGGAAGCAAGACUAUGUGGAAAAUUUGGAAUUUUCACAAAUGGAUUUAACUUUGAAGACAAGGAACCAACUAUUACUCAUGUUCCAAGGUGUGAAGUGGGAGAGAGGGGAUGUGGUGAUUAAGGUUUUGAUGACUAAUCCUAUAUAAGGAGACCCUGCAACUUCUCUCAUCGCCUAAUACACAAGAGCAUCUACAACUAUACCCCUCAAAACCCCCCUCCCUAAUACGUCCUGGCAGACGACCUAUUCACUACCGGUGACAAAAUUGCUGCCCAAGCGGACGCCUUAAACCGACAACAUAAGUUUGGGCUGUCCGGCACCCCUCCAACCCAUAUCUGUGGCGGAUUGGAUACAGGGACGCUCGGGCGUGUCCGCCAUGUUGUUCUCACAGGAGGGAUCUAUCUCAAAUCUCUUCAGGUCACCCCUAACCUAGCCCAACUUGCCCUAUUCCUCUCUUAUUUUCUGCCUCGUCCACACAACCGCUACCAUAGCUCCGCCGCCACCCUAGCUCCGUCGUCAGCCCCAACCGACAACACCGUCAUCCAUGUCGCCACUGGACGCUGCCCUGAUACGUCCAACUCCUCUCGGCAUACACCUCGCACUCUAUGUGGUCGAUGAAAUGUGUGAGUAAUUUUUUUAUUUUGCUCAUUUGUAGGCAAACAAUGGAUUCGUCUGAUGAGUAUAGGAACAAGGACCUUGUAUAAUUUAUAUAUAAAGGGUUCAUCGAUUUGUCAGAUUCGGACGACAAAAAUGAUGGAAUGAUGAUGAGCAUCCAUGAUGAAUUGGAGAAGCAAUAGGAGAAUGUCCUGAACGUCAAGGGUUCGAUAAACGGCAGGAUAGUUAUUCCUUGAGAUAGGAUCACUCGUGCAAAGCUUCUCUACAAGGACAACUUCACACCGUACCUAACAUACCAUGAUGAAGGGUUUUUUCGGUGUCGCUACCGAAUGAGCAGAGUUUGGUCAUACGCGUAGUGAAUGUCGUGGAGGAGGUUGAUGACUACUUCAAGCUGAGGAAAGAUUGUUGUGAACAACUUUUCUUCUCUCAUCUGUAAAAUUGCACAACUGCUCUCAGGAUACUCGCUUAUGAUAAAGCCGCAAAAGCCAUCGAUGUUGAAAUCCAGAUGGGAGAGACAACAUGUCUGUGGACAAAGGUGAAAUUUGCAUGCAUCAUGGUGAAAGUGUUUGUACCAGAGACCAUCAAGUGGAUCCCCGAUAUGCUUUGUCAAGUCGAUUGCGUGCAUUCACAAUGAAAGAACUGAUCGAAAGAUUUACGCAAGUAGUAUUAAUGUCACACCAAAAAGAACAUUGUCAUAUUUAAAGUAGUGGCAUUGAAGAACUUGUGAAUUUGACAUGUUUUCUUUGGCACGUUUGGCUCUCACAAUGAUAUCAAUGUGCUUCAGCAAUCUCCUUUAUCCAAGAGACUUUGUGAUGGUGAUGCUACUACGCCAUCAACGGACACAAGUAUAAAAUAUGGUACUACCUUACCAAUAGCAUCUAUUCUCGGUGGGUGAUAUUUAUGAAGACUAUAUCCAGCCGCGAGGUAACAAACAAUGUCUCUCUUCACAAAUGUAAGACGAUGUUGGGGAACAUUGCAGAAAACAAAAAAAAUUCCUACGGUUUCACCAAGAUCCAUCUAUGAGUUCAUCUAGCAACGAGUGGUUGGAUGCAUCUACGUACCUUGUAGAUCGCGAGCGGAAGCGUUCAAAGAACGGGGAUGAGGGAGUCGUACUCGACGUGAUCCAAAUCACGGGAGAUCCUAGUGCCGAACGGACGGCACCUCCGUGUUCGACACACGUACGGUCAGCGUAACGUCUCCUCCUUCUUGAUCCAGCAAGGGGGAAGGAGAGGUUGAGGAAGAUGGCUCCAGCAGCAGUACGACGACGUGAUGGUGAUGGAGCUGCAGUACUCCGGCAGGGCUUCGCCAAGCUCUAUGGAGAAGGAGGAGGUGUUGGAGAGGGAGAGGGAGGCACCAAUGGCAUAGGGGAGAGGCCCUCCCUUCCCCCCACUAUAUAUAGGGGGCCUAGGGGGGGCCCUAGGAUAUGCAAUCUCCUAGGGGUGCGGCGGCCAAGGGGUGGGGGGCUUGCCCCCAAGCAAGGGGGCGCCCCCUUUAGGGUUUCCCCCACCCUAGGCACAUGGGCCCUAGGGGAAGUGGCACCCAGCCCACUUUGGGCUGGAUCCCUUCCCACUUCAGCCCAUGGGGCCCUCCGGGAUAGGUGGCCCCACCCGGUGGACCCCCGGGACCCUUCCGGUGGUCCCGGUACAAUACCGGUGACCCCGAAACUUGUCCCGAUGGCCGAAAUAGCACUUCCCAUAUAUAAUUAUUUACCUCCGGACCAUUCCGGAACUCCUCGUGACGUCCGGGAUCUCAUCCGGGACUCCGAACAAUAUUCGGGUUACUGCAUAUACAUAUCCCUACAACCCUAGCAUCACCGAACCUUAAGUGUGUAGACCCUACGGGUUCGGGAGACAUGUAGACAUGACCGAGAUCGCUCUCCGGUCAAUAACCAACAGCGGGAUCUGGAUACCCAUAUUGGCUGCCACAUGCUCCUCGAUGAUCUCAUCGGAUGAACCACGAUGUCGAGGAUUCAAGCAACCCCGUAUACAAUUCCCUUCGUCAAUCGGUAUGUUACUUGCCCGAGAUUCGAUCGUCGGUAUCCCAAUACCUCGUUCAAUCUCGUUACCGGCAAGUCACUUUACUCGUACCAUAAUGCAUGAUCCUGUGACCAGACACUUGGUCACUUUGAGCUCAUAAUGAUGAUGCAUUACCGAGUGGGCCCAGUGAUACCUCUCCGUCAUACGGAGUGACAAAUCCCAGUCUUGAUCUGUGUUAACCCAACAGACACUUUCGGAGAUACCCGUAGUAUACCUUUAUAGUCACCCAGUUACGUUGUGACAUUUGGUAUGCCCAAAGCACUCUUACAGUAUCCGGGAGUUACACCGAUCUCAUGGUCUAAGGAAAAGAUAUUUGACAUUGGAAAACUCUAGCAAACGAACUAUACGAUCUAGUGCUAUGUUUAGGAUUGGGUCUUGUCCAUCACAUCAUUCUCCUAAUGAUGUGACCUCGUUAUCAACGACAUCCAAUGUCCAUAGUCAGGAAACCAUGACUAUCUGUUGAUCAACGAGCUAGUCAACUAGAGGCUUACUAGGGACAUGUUGGUGUCUAUUUAUUCACACAUGUAUUACGAUUUCCGGAUAACACAAUUAUAGCAUGAAUAAAAGACAAUUAUCAUGAACAAGGAAAUAUAAUAAUAAUGCUUUUAUUAUUGCCUCUAGGGCAUAUUUCAACAGUCUCCCACUUGCACUAGAGUCAAUAAUCUAGUUACAUUGUGAUGAAUCGAACACCCAUGGAAUUCUGGUGUUGAUCAUGUUUUGCUCUAGGGAGAGGUUUAGUCAACGGAUCAGCUACAUUCAGGUCCGUAUGUACUUUACAAAUAUCUAUGUCUCCAUCUUGAACAUUUUCACGAAUGGAGUUGAAGCGACGCUUGAUGUGCCUUGUCUUCUUGUGAAACCUGGGCUCCUUGGCAAGUGCAAUAGCUGCAGCGUUGUCACAGAAGAGCUUGAUUGGCCCCGACGCAUUGGGUAUGUCUCCUAGGUCGGUGAUGAACUCCUUCACCCAAAUUGCUUCAUGCGCUGCCUCCGAGGCUGCCAUGUACUCCGCUUCACAUGUAGAUCCCGCCAUGAUGCUUUGCUUGCAACUGCACCAGCUUACUGCCCCACCAUUCAAAAUAUACACGUCUCCGGUUUGUGACUUAGAGUCAUCCAGAUCUGUGUCGAAGCUAGCGUCGACGUAACCUUUUACGACGAGCUCUUCGUCACCUCCAUAAAUGAGAAACAUUUCCUUAGUCCUUUUCAGGUACUUCAGGAUAUUCUUGACUGUUGUCCAGUGUUCCUUGCCGGGAUUACUUUGGUACCUUCCUACCAAACUUACGGCAAGGUUUACAUCAGGUCUGGUACACAGCAUGGCAUACAUAAUAGAACCUAUGGCUGAGGCAUAGGGGAUGACACCCAUCUCUUCUAUAUCUUCUGCCGUGGUCGGACAUUGAGCUGAGCUCAAUUUCACACCUUGCAACACAGGCAAGAACCCCUUCUUAGACUGAUCCACAUUGAACUUCUUCAAUAUCUUAUCAAGGUAUGUGCUUUGUGAAAGACCUAUGAGGCGUCUUGAUCUAUCUCUAUAGAUCUUGAUGCCUAAUAUAUAAGCAGCUUCUCCAAGGUCCUUCAUUGAAAUACUCUUAUUCAAGUAGGCCUUAAUGCUGUCCAAAAGUUCUAUAUCAUUUCCCAUCAAAAGUAUGUCAUCUACAUAUAAUAUGAGAAAUGCUACAGAGCUCCCACUCACUUUCUUGUAAACGCAGGCUUCUCCAUAAGUCUGCGCGAACCCAAACGCCUUGAUCAUCUCAUCAAAGCGAAUAUUCCAACUCCGAGAUGCUUGCACCAGCCCAUAAAUCGAGCGUUGGAGCUUGCACACCUUAUUAGCAUUCUUAGGAUCGACAAAACCUUCCGGCUGCAUCAUAUACAAUUCUUCCUUAAGGAAACCAUUAAGGAAUGCUGUUUUGACGUCCAUUUGCCAUAUCUCAUAAUCGUGGAAUGCGGCAAUUGCUAACAUGAUUCGGACGGACUUUAGCUUCGCUACCAGUGAGAAAGUCUCAUCGUAGUCAACCCCUUGAACUUGUCGAUAACCCUUAGCGACAAGCCGAGCUUUAUAGAUGGUCACAUUACCAUCCGCGUAUGUCUUCUUCUUAAAGAUCCAUUUAUUUUCUAUGGCUCGCCGCUCAACGGGCAAGUCAGUCAAAGUCCAUACUUCGUUUUCAUACAUGGAUCCUAUCUCGGAUUUCAUGGCUUCCAGCCAUUUGUCGGAAUCCGGGCCCGCCAUCGCUUCUUCAUAGUUCGAAGGUUCACCGUUGUCUAACAACAUGAUUUCUAAGACAGGGUUGCCGUACCACUCUGGUGCGGAAUGUCUACUUGUGGACCUACAAAAUUCAGUAGGAGCUUGAUCAGAAGUAUCUUGAUCAUCAUCAUUAACUUCCUCUCUAGUCGGUGCAGGCACCUCAGGAACAUUUUCUUGAGUUGCGCCUUUUUCCGGUUCAAGAGGUAAUACUUCAUCAAGUUCUACUUUCCUCCCACUUACUUCUUUCGAGAGAAACUCUUUCUCUAGAAAGGAUCCAUUCUUGGCAACAAAGAUCUUGCCUUCGGAUCUGAGGUAGAAGGUAUACCCAAUAGUUUCUUUAGGGUAUCCUAUGAAGACGCAUUUUUCUGACUUGGGUUCGAGCUUUUCAGGUUGAAGUUUCUUGACAUAAGCAUCGCAUCCCCAAACUUUUAGAAACGACAGCUUAGGUUUCUUCCCAAACCAUAAUUCAUACGGUGUCAUCUCAACGGAUUUCGACGGAGCCCUAUUUAAAGUGAAUGCGGCAGUCUCUAAAGCAUAGCCCCAAAAAGAUAGCGGUAAAUCGGUAAGAGACAUCAUAGAUCGCACCAUAUCUAAUAGAGUGCGAUUACGACGUUCGGACACACCAUUACGCUGAGGUGUUCUAGGCGGCGUGAGUUGUGAAACUAUUCCACAUUUUCUUAAGCGUCUGCCAAAUUCGUGACUCAAGUAUUCUCCUCCACGAUCUGAUCGUAGGAACUUGAUUUUCCUGUCACGUUGAUUUUCAACCUCACUCUGAAAUUCCUUGAACUUUUCAAAGGUCUCAGACUUGUGUUUCAUCAAAUAGAUAUACCCAUAUCUACUCAAGUCAUCAGUGAGGGUGAGAACAUAACGAUAGCCACCGCGAGCCUCAACACUCAUUGGACCGCACACAUCAGUAUGUAUGAUUUCCAAUAAGUUGGUUGCUCGCUCCAUUGUUCCUGAGAACGGAGUCUUGGUCAUUUUACCCAUGAGGCAUGGUUCGCACGUGUCAAAUGAUUCGUAAUUAAGAGACUCUAAAAGUCCAUCUGCAUGGAGCUUCUUCAUGCGUUUGACACCUAUGUGACCAAGGUGGCAGUGCCACAAGUAUGUGGGACUAUCAUUAUCAACCUUACAUCUUUUGGUACUCACACUAUGAAUAUGUGUAGCAUUACGCUCGAGAUUCAUUAAGAAUAAACCAUUCACCAUCGGAGCAUGACCAUAAAACAUAUCUCUCAUAUAAAUAGAACAACCAUUAUUCUCGGAGAGACAUCAUAGAUCGCACCAUAUCUAAUAGAGUGCGAUUACGACGUUCGAACACACCAUUACACUGAGGUGUUCUAGGCGGCGUGAGUUGUGAAACUAUUCCACAUUUUCUUAAGUGUGUGCCAAAUUCAUGACUCAAGUAUUCUCCUUCACGAUCUGAUCAUAGGAACUUGAUUUUCCUGUCACGUUGAUUUUCAACCUCACUCUGAAAUUCCUUGAACUUUUCAAAGGUCUCAGACUUGUGUUUCAUCAAAUAGAUAUACCCAUAUCUACUCAAGUCAUCAGUGAGGGUGAGAACAUAACGAUAGCCACCGCGAGCCUCAACACUCAUUGGACCGCACACAUCAGUAUGUAUGAUUUUCAAUAAGUUGGUUGCUCGCUCCAUUGUUCCUGAGAACGGAGUCUUGGUCAUUUUACCCAUGAGGCAUGGUUCGCACGUGUCAAAUGAUUCGUAAUUAAGAGACUCUAAAAGUCCAUCUGCAUGGAGCUUCUUCAUGCGUUUGACACCUAUGUGACCAAGGUGGUAGUGCCACAAGUAUGUGGGACUAUCAUUAUCAACCUUACAUCUUUUGGUACUCACACUAUGAAUAAGUGUAGCAUUACGCUCGAGAUUCAUUAAGAAUAAACCAUUCACCAUCGGAGCAUGACCAUAAAACAUAUCUCUCAUAUAAAUAGAACAACCAUUAUUCUCGGAUUUAAAUGAGUAGCCAUCUCGUAUUAAAUGAGAUCCCGAUACAAUCUUCAUGCUCAAAGCUGGCACUAAAUAACAAUUAUUGAGGUUUAAAACUAAUCCCGUAAGUAAAUGUAGAGGUAGCGUGCCGACAGCGAUCACAUCGACCUUGGAACCAUUCCUGACGUGCAUCGUCACCUCGUCCUUCGCCAGUCUCUGCUUAUUCCGCAGCUCCUGCUUUGAGUUACAAAUGUGAGCAACUGCACCGGUAUCAAAUACCCAAGAGCUACUACGAGUACUAGUAAGGUACACAUCAAUUACAUGUAUAUCACAUAUACCUUUUGUGAUGCCGGCCUUCUUGUCCGCUAAGUAUUUGGGCCAGUUCCGCUUCCAGUGACCACUUCCCUUGCAAUAAAAACACUCAGUCUCGGGCUUGGGUCCAUUCUUUGGCUUCUUCCCGGCAGCUUGCUUGCCGGGCGCGGCAACUCCCUUGCCAUCCUUCUUGAAGUUCUUCUUACCCUUGCCCUUUUUGAACUUAGUGGUUUUAUUCACCAUCAACACUUGAUGUUCCUUUUUGACUUCUACCUCUGCUGAUUUCAGCAUAGCAAAUACUUCAGGAAUGGUCUUUUCCAUCCCCCGCAUAUUGAAGUUCAUCACAAAGCUCUUGUAGCUCGGUGGAAGUGACUGAAGGAUUCUAUCAAUGACCGCGUCAUCCGGGAGAUUAACUCCCAGCUGAGUCAAGCGGUUAUGCAACCCAGACAUAGUGAGUAUGUGCUCACUGACAGAACUGUUUUCCUCCAUCUUACAGCUGAAGAACUUGUCGGAGACUUGAUAUCUCUCGACCUGGGCAUGAGCUUGGAAAACCAUUUUCAGCUCUUCGAACAUCUCAUAUGCUCCAUGUCUCUCGAAACGUUUUUGGAGUCCCGGCUCUAAGCUGUAAAGCAUGCCGCACUGAACGAGGGAGUAGUCAUCGGUACGUGCCUGCCAAGCGUUCAUAACGUCUUGUUCUACAGGGAGAACAGGUGCGUCACUCAGCGGUGCUUGUAGGACAUAAUCUUUCUUGGCAGCUAUGAGGAUGAUCCUCAGGUUCUGGACCCAGUCCGUGUAGUUGCUGCCAUCGUCUUUCAGCUUGGUUUUCUCUAGGAACGCAUUGAAGUUGAGGACUACGUUGGCCAUUUGAUCUACAAGACAUAUCGUAAAUAUUUUAGACUAAGUUCAUGAUAAUUAAGUUCAUCUAAUCAAAUUAUUCAAUGAACUCCCACUUAGAUAGACAUCCCUCCAGUCAUCUAAGUAUAACAUGAUCCGAGUUAACUAGGCCGUGUCCGAUCAUCACGUGAGACGGACUAGUCAACAUCGGUGAACAUCUUCAUGUUGAUUGUAUCUUCUAUACGACUCAUGCUCGACCUUUCGGUCUUCUAUGUUCCGAGGCCAUGUCUGUACAUGCUAGGCUCGUCAAGUCAACCUAAGUGUUUGCAUGUGUAAAUCUGUCUUACACCCGUUGUAUGUGAACGUUGGAAUCUAUCACACCCGAUCAUCACGUGGUGGUUCGAGACAACGAACUGUCGCAACGGUGCAUAGUUAGGGGGAACAUUUUCUUGAAAUUAUUGUGAGGGAUCAUCUUAUUUACUACCAUCGUUCUAAGUAAACAAGAUGCAAAAACAUGAUAAACAUCACAUGCAAUCAAAUAAUGAUAGUGACAUGAUAUGGCCAAUAUCACAUAGCUCCUUUGAUCUCCAUCUUGGGGCUCCAUGAUCAUCUUGUCACCGGCAUGACACCAUGAUCUCCAUCAUCAUGAUCUCCAUCAUCGUAUCUCCAUGAAGUUGCUCGCCAACUAUUACUUCUACUACUAUGGCUAACACGUUUAGCAAUAAAGUAAAGUAAUUUACAUGGCGUUUCUCAAUGACUCGCAGGUCAUACAAAAAAUAAAGACAACUCCUAUGGCUCCUGCCGGUUGUCAUACUCAUCGACAUACAAGUCGUGAUUCCUAUUACAAUAGCAUGAACAUCUCAUACAUCACAUAUAUAUCAUUCAUCAUUCAUCACAACUUUGGCCAUAUCACAUCACAAAACACUUGCUACAAAAACAAGUUAGACGUCCUCUAAUUGUUGUUGCAAGUUUUAUGUGGCUGCAAUAGGGUUCUAGCAAGAAUGUUUUCUUACCUACGUGAAAGCCACAACGUGAUUUGUCAACUUCUAUUUACCCUUCAUAAGGACCCUUUUCAUCGAAUCCGCUCCAACUAAAGUGGGAGAGACAGACACCCGCCAACCACCUUAUGCAACUAGUGCAUGUUAGUCGGUGGAACCGGUCUCACGUAAGCGUACAUGUAAGGUUGGUCCGGGCCGCUUCAUCCCACAAUACCGCUGAAGCAAAAUAAGACUAGUAGCGGCAAGAAAGUUGACAACAUCAACGCCCACAACAAAUUGUGUUCUACUCGUGCAUAGAUAACUACACAUAGACCUAGCUCAUGAUGCCACUGUUGGGGAACGUUGCAGAAAACAAAAAAAAAUUCCUACGGUUUCACCAAGAUCCAUCUAUGAGUUCAUCUAGCAACGAGUGGUUGGAUGCAUCUACGUACCUUGUAGAUCGCGAGCGGAAGCGUUCAAAGAACGGGGAUGAGGGAGUCGUACUCGACGUGAUCCAAAUCACGGGAGAUCCUAGCGCCGAACGGACGGCACCUCCGUGUUCAACACACGUACGGUCAGCGUAACGUCUCCUCCUUCUUGAUCCAGCAAGGGGGAAGGAGAGGUUGAGGAAGAUGGCUCCAGCAGCAGCACGACGGCGUGGUGGUGAUGGAGCUGCAGUACUCCGGCAGGGCUUCGCCAAGAUCUAUGGAGAAGGAGGAGGUGUUGGAGAGGGAGGCACCAAUGGCGUAGGGGAGAGGCCCUCUCUUCCCCCCACUAUAUAUAGGGGGCCUAGGGGGGGCGCCGGCCCUAGGAGAUGCAAUCUCCUAGGGGCGGCGGCCAAGGGGUGGGGGGCUUGCCCCCCAAGCAAGGGGGCACCCCCUUUAGGGUUUCCCCCACCCUAGGCGCAUGGGCCCUAGGGGAAGUGGCACCCCAGCGCACUUUGGGCUGGAUCCCUUCCCACUUCAGCCCAUGGGGCCCUCCGGGAUAGGUGGCCCCACCCGGUGGACCCCCGGGACCCUUCCAGUGGUCCCGGUACAAUACCGGUGACCCUGAAACUUGUCCCGAUGGCCGAAAUAGCACUUCCCAUAUAUAAUUCUUUACCUCCGGACCAUUCCGGCACUCCUCGUGACGUCUGGGAUCUCAUCCGAGACUCCGAACAAUAUUCGGGUUACUGCAUAUACAUAUCCCUACAACCCUAGCGUCACCGAACCUUAAGUGUGUAGACCCUACGGGUUCGGGAGACAUGUAGACAUGACCGAGAUCGCUGUCCGGUCAAUAACCAACAGCGGGAUCUGGAUACCCAUAUUGGCUCCCACAUGCUGCUCGAUGAUCUCAUCGGAUGAACCACGAUGUCGAGGAUUCAAGCAACCCUGUAUACAAUUCCCUUUGUCAAUCGGUAUGUUACUUGUCCGAGAUUCGAUCGUCGGUAUCCCAAUACCUCGUUCAAUCUCGUUACCGGCAAGUCACUUUACUCGUACCGUAAUGCAUGAUCCCGUGACCAGACACUUGGUCACUUUGAGCUCAUAACGAUGAUGCAUUACCGAGUGGGCCCAGUGAUACCUCUCCGUCAUACGGAGUGACAAAUCCCAGUCUUGAUCCGUGUUAACCCAACAGACACUUUCGGAGAUACCCGUAGUAUACCUUUAUAGUCACCCAGUUACGUUGUGACGUUUGGUAUACCCAAAGCACUCCUACAGUAUCCGGGAGUUACACGAUCUCAUGGUCUAAGGAAAAGAUACUUGACAUUGGAAAACUCUAGCAAACGAACUAUACGAUCUUGUGCUAUGUUUAGGAUUGGGUCUUGUCCAUCACAUCAUUCUCCUAAUGAUGUGAUCUUGUUAUCAACGACAUCCAAUGUCCAUAGUCAGGAAACCAUGACUAUCUGUUGAUCAACGAGCUAGUCAACUAGAGGCUUACUAGGGACAUGUUGGUGUCUAUUUAUUCACACAUGUAUUACGAUUUCUGGAUAACACAAUUAUAGCAUGAAUAAAAGACAAUUAUCAUGAACAAGGAAAUAUAAUAAUAAUGCUUUUAUUAUUGCCUCUAGGGCAUAUUCCAACAAACGGUACGAUGUGGAAAGGGUAUUCUAAGUGCUUCAAAGUCAGCUUGUUUCAUGUAACUCCAACAAUGUCAAAACUAGCACUUUGCCAGCUGAUGACAUGUUGUGUAAUCUUGAACACCAUGAUUGUGGAGAAUGCAGGCGAAGGCAACCCUAUGCAUGAUUUAGAGAACCCCAAGUUCAUGCAAAUAUGUGAAUUUAUGCAGAUUUUAUGUUUCAACUAUGAUUUAUUGUAUGAAUACAUUUUAUGCUUGAACCACAUUUUUAUGUGCGAUUUCCCUCCUUCUGUAAGGAAUAUCGUAACCUUUAAUUAUAUGUGGGAUAUAUCAAUUGUUUCACACAUCCAAGAAUACACAUGAACAGAGAGUAAGCUGAACCAACCAGCGGAGCGUAUCAGAUUCAUAGAUUUGCACAUACACAUGGUCUAUGCUAGAGCAAAACAGGGCACUAAUGCAUCAAUGAAUCCACCAUUAUAAUAAUCCAAAUAACGCAAGGCUUAGCAGCCAGGGAAGUAAUUUGACGAAAAUUAAGGCAACACUUCAGCUGCAAGUUUACUGAACUACAUCAUGACAGAAAGUUUGGCAACAAUCAUAUAAGCUCAUGAUGUUCGAGGUAAAAAUCAUAUCAGAUGGUAGAAAUUGCAAAAGAAUAUAUAUGUGAGUAUGUUUCUUACAUAUUGAAACCAAGAGUUAAAAACGUUGAAAUGAAUACACACACACACACACGCACACACACACGUCGUGUAUAAGUGUGGAGCAUAACACAUUGAAAAGCUAAUGACUUCAAUUGCAUUUUCUCUCAACAAUGUUAGCAUUAUGUGGGUAUCUCCUAAAUUUCACAGCCUUAUUUUUGCAUGCACUACGGUUAAAAGUUUAUGCAUGCGUUGUGUGGAUAAUUUGGAAGGAGGACUAUGUGGAAAAUUUGGAAUUUUCACAAAUGGAUUUAACUUUGAAGGCAAGGAACCAUCUAUUACUCACGUUCCAAGGUGUGAAGUGGGAGAGAGGGGAUGUGGUGAUUAAGGUUUUGAUGACUAAUGCUAUAUAAGGAGGCCCCACAACUUCUCCCAUCGCCUAAUACAUAAGAGCAUCUACAACUAUACCCCUCAGAAUCCCGCCUCCCUAAUACGUCCUGGCAGACGACCUAUUCACUGUCGGUGACAAAAUUGCCGCCCAACCGGACACCUUAAACCGUCAACAUAAGUUUGGGCUGUCCGGCACCCCUCCAACCCAUAUCUGUGGCGGAUUGGAUACAGGGACGCUCGGGCGUGUCCGCCACGUUGUACUCACAGGAGGGAUCUAUCUCAAAUCUCUUCAGGUCACCCCUAACCUAGCCCAACUUGCCCUAUUCCUCUCUUAUUUUCUGCCUCGUCCACACAACCGCUACCAUAGCUCCGCCGCCACCCUAGCUCCGUCGUCAGCCCCAACCGACAACACCGUCAUCCAUGUCGCCACUGGACGCUGCCCUGAUACGUCCAACUCCUCCCGGCAUACACCUCGCACUCUAUGUGGUCGAUGAAAUGUCUGAGUAAUUUUUUUAUUUUGCUCAUUUGUAGGCAAACAAUGGAUUCGUCUGAUGAGUAUUGGAACAAGGACCUUGUAUAAUUUAUAUAUAAAGGGUUCAUUGAUUUGUCAGAUUCGAACGACAAAAAUGUUGGAAUGAUGAUGAGCAUCCAUAAUGAAUUGGAGAAGCAAUAGGAGAAUGUCCUGAACUUCAAGGGUUCGAUAAACGGCAGGAUAGUUGUUCCUUGAGAUAGGAUUACUGGUGCAAAGCUUCUCUACAAGGACAACUUCACACCGGAUCUAACAUACCAUGAUGAAGGUUUUUUUUGGCGUCGCUACCGGAUGAGCAGAGUUUGUUCAUACGCGUAGUGAAUGUCGUGGAGGAGGUUGAUGACUACUUCAAGCUGAAGAAAGAUUGUUGUGAACAACUUUUCUUCUCUCAUCUGCAAAAUUGCACAACUGCUCUCAGGAUGCUCGAUUAUGAUAAAGCCGCAAAUGCCAUCGAUGUUGAAAUCCAGAUGGGAGAGACAACAUGCAUGCAUCAUGGUGAAAGUGUUUGUACCAAAGAGCAUCAAGUGGAUCCCGGUAUGCUUUGUCAAGGGCGUCUGCUACAAAUAAGUCGGAUGAUUUCUCUAAGAAAUCAUCUGCCUAUUCAGCCGUUGGAUCAGGGUGUUGGCUGUCGUUGGAUCACAAUAGGUAGCAGCGAGCACAUCAGCUUCAACCCAACGCCACUGCAGCCUCGCGCGAAGCUCCAAUGAAGCACCGAUGGCGUCCGAUGAGUUCCAACGCGGCACCAACGCUCCGGUGAAGUUCCAUUGCAACUCUGGUUGUGCUCCAUUGCAGCCUCGGCGGAGCUCCAACGCAGCACCGACGCUCCGACAAAGCUCCACUACAACUCCGGCCGAGCUUCAUUGCAGCCCUGGCAAAGCUCCGACGGCUCUGACAGAGCUCCAUUGCAACUCCAGUCGAGCUUCAUUGCAGCCCUGGCAAAGCUCCGACGGCUCCGACAACACUCCAUUGCAACUCCAACCGAGCUCCAUUGCAGCUGCGGCGGAGCUCCAACGCAGCGCCGCCGCCUCCGGCGAAGCUCCCUUUUCCGUGUUGCUCUGCAGCAAGCGUCGCCGCAACGACCGGCCGGCUUGCCGCCGAUAGGCUCCUCUGCAACAGCAGCGAGGUCACGCUGAUUUGAAGAAGAAAAACGUGACGCUCCUCGUGAAAAGCACCGAUGGGCAUCUCUUCCUUUGCAAAACAGGUCGCCAUGGAGUUUCCUGCAGCAAUUAGCGCCGGCGAGGAGUGGUGGCCGGCCGGGCAACAGCCCAGGGAGGAGAGGGCGCUGGGGAGAGAGAGAGGAAAGGGGUGGGGGGAGAGAGCGCGCUAGUGCGGAGGGGAUUAGCGAGAGACGACGAGAUGGGAACAAUCGAGAAGAUAAGGCUUCAUCGGUCCCGCAAGGGACACGUGGCAAGAGAGGGAAGGGACUUAAGCGGCGAGAAAAUCAUCCGCCUGAUUUUAAGCGUUUUCCUUUGUCAAGUCGAUUGCGUGCAUUCAUAAUGAAAGAAUUGAUCGAAAGGUUUACGCAAGUAGUAUUAAGGUCACACCAAAAAGAACAUUGUCAUACCUAAAGUAGUGGCAUUGAAGAACUUGUGAAUUUUACAUGUUUUUUUUGGCAUGUUUGGCUCUAACGAUGAUAUCAAUGUACUUUAUUCAAGAGACUUUGUGAUGGUAGCACAAGUAUAAAAUAUGAUACUACCUUAUUAAUAGCAUCUUAUUCUCGGUGGAUGAUAUUUAUGAAGACUAUAUCCAGCCACAAGGUAACAAACAAUGUCUCUCUUCACAAAUAAGACGGUACGAUGUGAAAAGGGUAUUCUAAGUGCUUCAAAGUCAGCUUGUUUCGUGUAACUUCAAUAAUGUGAAAACUAACACUUUGCCAGCUGAUGACAUGUUGUGUAAUCUUGAACACCAUGAUUGUGGAGAAUGGAGGCAAAGGCAACCCUAUGCAUGAUUUAGAGAACCCCAAGUUCAUGCCAAUAUGUGAAUUUAUGCAACUUUUAUGUUUCAACUAUGAUUUUGCUGCGUAUGAAUACAUUUUAUGCUUGAACCACGUUUUUAUGUGCAAUUUCCCUCCUUCUGUAAGGAAUAUCGUAACCUUUAAUUAUAUGUGGGAUAUACCAACUGUUUCACACAUCCAACAAUACACAUGAACAGAGAGUAAGCUGAACCAACCAGCGGAGCGUAUCAGAUUCAUAGAUUUGCACAUACACAUGGUCUACGCUAGAGUAAAACAGGGCACCAAUGCAUCAAUGAACCCACUAUUAUAAUAAUCCAAAUAACGCAAGGCUUAGCAGCCAGGGAAGUAAUUUGACGAAAAUUAAGGCAGCACUUCAGCUGCAAGUUUACUGAACUGCAUCACGACAGAAAGUCUGGCAACAAUCAUAUAAGUUCAUGAUGUUCGAGGUAAAAAUCUAUCAUCACACCAUAAAAGAGAGUUCUACUUCAGGUUUAUCCGAUAACAUGGAAACUCUAACAUCCUCUCCUGCAUUAAAGAAGCUGAUGACUUCCGCACCAUCUGAAUCAC